GUGCCAGCCGCCGCGGUAAUACGGAGGAUGCAAGCGUUAUCCGGAAUGAUUGGGCGUAAAGCGUCCGCAGGUGGCUGUGUAAGUCUGCUGUUAAAGAGCAAAGCUUAACUUUGUAAAAGCAGUGGAAACUACACGGCUAGAGUGCGUUCGGGGCAGAGGGAAUUCCUGGUGUAGCGGUGAAAUGCGUAGAGAUCAGGAAGAACACCGGUGGCGAAGGCGCUCUGCUAGGCCGCAACUGACACUGAGGGACGAAAGCUAGGGGAGCGAAUGGGAUUAGAAACCCCUGUAGUCC
rnacentral:rRNA from 1 species